rnacentral:rRNA from 1 species
CCUACGGGUGGCUGCAGUGGGGAAUUUUGGACAAUGGGCGCAAGCCUGAUCCAGCAAUGCCGCGUGAGUGAAGAAGGCCUUCGGGUUGUAAAGCUCUUUCAGUUGAGAAGAAAAGAUUGUAACUAAUAAUUGCGAUCCAUGACGGUAUCAACAGAAGAAGCACCGGCUAACUACGUGCCAGCAGCCGCGGUAAUACGUAGGGUGCGAGCGUUAAUCGGAAUUACUGGGCGUAAAGGGUGCGCAGGCGGUUAUGUAAGUCAGAUGUGAAAUCCCCGGGCUUAACCUGGGAAUUGCGUUUGAAACUACAUGACUAGAGUGUAACAGAGGGAAGUGGAAUUCCAUGUGUAGCAGUGAAAUGCGUAGAGAUAUGGAGGAACAUCGAUGGCGAAGGCAGCUUCCUGGGUUAACACUGACGCUCAUGCACGAAAGCGUGGGGAGCAAACAGGAUUAGAUACCCCAGUAGUC